UUGGGCCAGAGGAGCAGGGAAGGGAGCUAUGUGCGGGUCACAGGUGCUCGAGGGAGAACCAGAAGAUGGUGUUUAGUGAGGAGGAUUGGAGAACUUCAACCUGAGUUCUAUGGUGGACUGCUCCUCCAGGAGGUCAUCAGACAGCUCCUCUGAAUAUGGACCCAGGACAUUCUGCAGCUCCAAUGACAAAGACUCCUCAGUCAGUAAGAGCCCCAAGGUGAGCAAACUAGGAGCCUGACUGGUUCUGCUUGAGGCUUGGGGAGUGCCUGGCAAAGAAUGGCUCCUCUCCCGCAUGAAGCUAAUCUGGACAGCCCAGGAGAGAGGAUAAAGAAGAGAAGGUAGAUUUCCAGUUCCACUACUGAAGUGUAGAAAUACUUACAGAACCAGUCCAUUGGGUGCUUGCAUUCAUGUGUGGGAAGUGAAGUGAACCUCGACAGUAGCGAUUUCAGCAACCUGUAAAUGUAUUUUUAAAAAUAAGUUGUAACCAAAUUUCUCAGUAUGAGCCCAUUCAGCUGUGUAUUUUGUAUAACAUAAGGUUUUGUUCAUCUUUACACCAUUCCUUUACAACAUGA